GCAGUCAAGGGCACUGAGACCGUGGAGGGACCCCAGAAGUAUUGCAGUCUGACCUCCUGCUCUCAGGCCGGUCAGAGUCACCACCAGCGGUUGGCAGUGCUCCAGAGAAAAGGAAACGGAGGUCUGGAGAAAUGAUGCAGGUUGGUGGCAAACCCAAGAUUCACCUGGAAAAAAUUCCAUUCUCCUCAAAAUGUGGCUAUCAAGGCCUAAGAUGAUCUUGGAAGCUGCAGGCUGAAGAUGGCAGGGCCUGAGUCCCUGAGCUACUGUGUGGAGUAGAGCCCCACCUCCUGCUGACCAGGAAUAUAGGCACUGGUGGUUACAUAAACAGACAACUGGGGAUUCUUUGAGCUGAAAGAGCUUCGUGAAGCUGCGGUAUCCAGCUCCCUGGCUGGACAGACGAGGAGGCCAAGGAGCAAAAAGAAGAGGUGACCUGUAGACUAUAUGAUCACCAGUGAAGCUGACUGACAAGGGAUGAAGAGUGAAAAUUACAAUUUGAGAACCUCUUUGGUCAGCUAUUGGGAAAGAAUGAACUCUCCCCUGUGCAAACCACCUCACGAUUUUUCAGGAAGCCAGGGCGAGGAACUUGGAUUCCAAAGCCUAGAGAAAGAUGGCUGACUCGGGGCGGCUGCGCUGCGUUCUCUCCCCUGUGAACUUUGCUCACGUUUUGGACUGGGCAGCAUCUCGCGGUCUGCUCGAGCGGGCUGCCCUUCUGCUUAGAGCUGGACAGUGUUCUCGUCUGCUAGAACGGGAUUUUAUGGUCAACAGGACAUUGCCAUGUGUCACUGCAACACUUAGAGGGUAGUUUGAACUGGG
rnacentral:lncRNA from 1 species